UAUCACUGAUAGAUACUACUUUGUAAAUGUCGAUAAUGAACUUCGAUCGACCCUAGAUGCUAAUAUUAUUCUUACAACUAGAUCACUACCGUCGAUAUCAUCAACGAUGAGUUUUUUUCGUUAGUCUUGCCGUGUUUCUUGGUGUUGGUAGCUACGACACUUGAUUCGUAUUGAUAUCUUAUUUUCUUAAACUUCUAUUUAUUUUCUAUCAUCACGUCAUAUAAUUAACAACUAGUUUUAAUUCGAACAAUGAUUUUUUUCGUUAUAUACCAAUAUAUUCAACUGUCUCAGCAACCAACGAAACCGCCAUCUCCAGACUUCACUCAGAUUGGGAUCAAGAGACACAAGGCGGUGUAGUACUUUUUUUUUGAUUGGUAUCAAUCUAAAUCUAGUAUUUGGACGAAGUGCGAGGAUGGGUCGUGCGUGCUUUUGCUUUCUAAAUCGAGCGUGCAAAUCUCAUAAAAUCGUUUUACUUCAUUUAGCCACAGAUAGCUUACUUUCGUAUUUUCUUCGCCAGUUAAUAAUUUAUCUUCGUUAAUUCAUUUGAUACAUGUGUACUAGUCUUGAAAAAAAAAAAGGAAAAAAGAA
rnacentral:misc_RNA from 1 species